rnacentral:rRNA from 1 species
AGCUCCAGUAGCGUAUAUUAAAGUUGUUGCAGUUAAAAAGCUCGUAGUUGGAUUUCUGGUGGGAGCGUCCGGUCCGCCCCUCACGGGGUGUGUUACUGCGUCGUCUCUGGCCAUCCUCGCAAAGAGCGUGCCGAGCAUUAAGUUGUUCAGUGCGGGAUUUGCGUCGUUUACUGUGAAAAAAUUAGAGUGUUUAAAGCAGGCGUAAGCUGUGAAUACAUUAGCAUGGAAUAAUAAGAUAGGACUUUGGUACUAUUUUGUUGGUUUGCAUACCGAGGUAAUGAUUAACAGGAACGGUUGGGGGUAUUGCUAUUUACAUGUCAGAGGUGAAAUUCUUGGAUUUUGGAAAGAGCAACAUCGGCGAAAGCAUUUACCAAGGAUGUUUUCA